rnacentral:tRNA from 1 species
CGGGGCGUGGCUCAGCCUGGUAGAGCGUCCGCUUUGGGAGCGGAAUGUCGCUGGUUCGAAUCCAGUCGCCCCGA